GACGAACGCUGGCGGCGUGCUUAACACAUGCAAGUCGAACGGGAACCUUUAUUUCGGUAAAGGUGAGAGUGGCAAACGGGUGAGUAACACGUAGGCAACCUGCCGACAGGAUGGGGACAACAUUCCGAAAGGAAUGCUAAUGCCGAAUGAAGUCACCGGAGGGCAUCCUCUGGCGAUGAAAGAUGGCCUCUGAAUAUGCUAUCACCUGUCGAUGGGCCUGCGUCUGAUUAGCCAGUUGGCGGGGUAACGGCCCACCAAAGCGACGAUCAGUAGCCGGUCUGAGAGGAUGAACGGCCACAUUGGGACUGAGACACGGCCCAGACUCCUACGGGAGGCAGCAGUGGGGAAUCUUCCACAAUGGGCGAAAGCCUGAUGGAGCAACGCCGCGUGAGUGAAGAAGGUCUUCGGAUCGUAAAGCUCUGUUGCACGGGACGAAAACCGAGCUUGAGAAUAUUGAGU
rnacentral:rRNA from 1 species